ensembl:snRNA U6 U6 spliceosomal RNA
GUGCUUACUUGGGCAGCACAUAUACUAAAAUUGGAACAACACAGAGAAGGUCAGCACAGCCCCUGCGCAAGGAUGACACGCACAUUCAUGAAGCUUCUGUAUUUUUU